UACGAAGGGGGCUAGCGUUGCUCGGAAUCACUGGGCGUAAAGCGCACGUAGGCGGCUUGUUAAGUCAGGGGUGAAAUCCUGGAGCUCAACUCCAGAACUGCCUUUGAUACUGGCGAGCUUGAGUCCGGGAGAGGUGAGUGGAACUGCGAGUGUAGAGGUGAAAUUCGUAGAUAUUCGCAAGAACACCAGUGGCGAAGGCGGCUCACUGGUCCGGUACUGACGCUGAGGUGCGAAAGCUAGGGGAGCGAACGGG
rnacentral:rRNA from 1 species